rnacentral:misc_RNA from 1 species
GAUGAAGAACGUAGCGAAAUGCGAUACUUGGUGUGAAUUGCAGAAUCCCGUGAACCAUCGAGUCUUUGAACGCAAGUUGUGCCCGAAGCCAUCAGGUUGAGGGCACGUCUGCCUGGGCGUCACAUAUCGUUGCCCAAUGCCUAUUGCAGUGCAAUAGGAAUUUCUAGGGCGAAUGAUGGCUUCCCGUGAGCGUUGUUGCCUCGCGUUUGGUUGAAAAUCGAGUCCUUGGUAGGGUGUGCCAUGGUAGAUGGUGGUCGAGUUAGAACGAUACCGAUCAUGUGCAUGCUCCCCAAAAUAUGGCCUCUAUGACCCACACGCGUCUUUUGACGCUCAUGACGAGACCUCAGGUCAGGCGGGGCUACCCGCUGAAUUUAAGCAUAUCAAUAAGCGGAGGA